rnacentral:rRNA from 1 species
AGAGUUUGAUCAUGGCUCAGAACGAACGCUGGUGGCGUGCUUAAUACAUGCAAGUCGUACGAGAAAGUCCUUCGGGAUGAGUACAGUGGCGCACGGGUGAGUAACACGUAGGUGACCUACCUCGUAGUUGGGGAUAACAGCGGGAAACCACUGCUAAUACCGAAUGUGUUGUGUGACAUUAGAAAAGCACAACAAAGAAUGCCUCUACUUGUAAGCAUUCGCUAUGAGAUGGGCCUGCGCGGCAUUAGCUAGUUGGUGGGGUAAUGGCCUACCAAGGCAACGAUGCCUAGCUGGUCUGAGAGGAUGAUCAGCCACACUGGAACUGAGAGACGGUCCAGACUCCUACGGGAGGCAGCAGUGGGGAAUAUUGGGCAAUGGGGGCAACCCUGACCCAGCGACGCCGCGUGAGGGAAGAAGGCCUUCGGGUCGUAAACUUCUUUUGUACGUGAAGAAGCAGAUGACGGUAGCGUACGAAUAAGUCCCGGCUAACUACGUGCCAGCAGCCGCGGUAAUACGUAGGGGACGAGCGUUGUCCGGAAUUACUGGGCGUAAAGGGCGCGCAGGCUGCGCGUCGAGUCGGCUGUUAAAGAUCCGGGCUUAACCCGGUGAAGCGGUCGAGACCGACGAGCUGGAGUGCUGCAGAGGCAAGUGGAAUUCCCGGUGUAGCGGUGAAAUGCGUAGAUAUCGGGAAGAACACCGGUGGCGAAGGCGACUUGCUGGGCAGCAACUGACGCUGAGGCGCGAAAGCCAGGGGAGCAAACGGGAUUAGAUACCCCGGUAGU